AUUGAACGCUGGCGGCACGCCUUACACAUGCAAGUCGAACGGCAGCACGGGAGCAAUCCUGGUGGCGAGUGGCGAACGGGUGAGUAAAGUAUCGGAACGUGCCCAGUCGUGGGGGAUAACGUAGCGAAAGUUACGCUAAUACCGCAUACGAUCUAUGAAUGAAAGCGGGGGAUCGCAAGACCUCGCGCGAUUGGAGCGGCCGAUAUCAGAUUAGGUAGUUGGGGGGGUAAAGGCUCACCAAGCCGACGAUCUGUAGCUGGUCUGAGAGGACGACCAGCCACACUGGGACUGAGACACGGCCCAGACUCCUACGGGAGGCAGCAGUGGGGAAUUUUGGACAAUGGGCGAAAGCCUGAUCCAGCCAUGCCGCGUGCAGGAUGAAGGCCUUCGGGUUGUAAACUGCUUUUGUACGGAACGAAAAGGUUUGGCCUAAUAAGCUGAGCUCAUGACGGUACCGUAAGAAUAAGCACCGGCUAACUACGUGCCAGCCGCCGCCGUAA
rnacentral:rRNA from 1 species